GUCUCUGUGGUGGAAUCAGUUAGCGCGCUCAGCUGUUAAGUGAAAGGUUGGUGGUUAGAGCCCACUCGGGGAUG
rnacentral:tRNA from 1 species